rnacentral:rRNA from 1 species
GGGUCAGUAGGUUGGUCGUGCCACCGGUACGUACUGGUCUCACUGAUUCCUCCUUCCUGAAGAACCGUAAUGCCAUUAAUUGGGUGUUGCGGGGAAACAGGACUGUUACUUUGAAAAAAUUAGAGUGUUUAAAGCAAGCUAACGCUUGAAUACAUUAGCAUGGAAUAAUGAAAUAGGACGAUCGAUCCUAUUUUGUUGGUUUCUAGGAUUGACAUA